AUUGAACGCUGGCGGCAUGCCUUACACAUGCAAGUCGAACGGCAGCACGGGAGCAAUCCUGGUGGCGAGUGGCGAACGGGUGAGUAAUAUAUCGGAACGUGCCCAGUCGUGGGGGAUAACGUAGCGAAAGCUACGCUAAUACCGCAUACGAACUAUGGAUGAAGGCGGGGGAUCGCCAGACCUGGCGCGAUUGGCUCUGCCGAUAUCAGAUUAGGUAGUUGGUUCGGUAAAGGCUCACCAAGCCGACGAUCUGUAGCUGGUCUGAGAGGACGACCAGCCACACUGGGACUGAGACACGGCCCAGACUCCUACGGGAGGCAGCAGUGGGGAAUUUUGGACAAUGGGCGCAAGCCUGAUCCAGCAAUGCCGCGUGCAGGAUGAAGGCCUUCGGGUUGUAAACUGCUUUUGUACGGAGCGAAAAGGCUUCCACUAAUACUGGGGGCUCAUGACGGUACCGUAAGAAUAAGCACCGGCUAACUACGUGCCAGCAGCCGCCGUAAUAC
rnacentral:rRNA from 1 species